AGUGAGCGGGAUGAGCUCAAAUUUAAAAUCUGGCUGGUUUACUAGUCCGAAUUGUAGUUUAUAGAAGCGUUUUCGGUGGCAGCCUGGGUAUAAAUCCUUUGGAAUAGGGUAUCAUAGAGGGUGAGAAUCCCGUCUUUGACUCAGUGCAUGCUACUAUGUGAUACGUUUUCAAAGAGUCGAGUUGUUUGGGAAUGCAGCUCAAAAUGGGUGGUAAAUUUCAUCUAAAGCUAAAUAUUGGCGAGAGACCGAUAGCGAACAAGUACCGUGAGGGAAAGAUGAAAAGAACUUUGAAAAGAGAGUUAAACAGUGCGUGAAAUUGUUGAAAGGGAAACGCUUGACACCAGUCAUGCGAGUGGAAAAUCAGUCUUUUGCAAUGGGGAGUUGUGGGCGUUCAGACCGCAAGGCUGGCGUUUGCUUCAUCUUUGUUGUAAGUGAUGCACUUUUUCAUUUGCAGGUCAACAUCAGUUUGCUUUGCUGGACAAAACCCCAAGGGAAGGUGGCAGCUUAGGCUGUGUUAUAGCCCUGGGGCGAUACAGUGGAGUGGACUGAGGUUUUCGCAGUGUGUGCUCUCUGGGCAAGGCUGACUGGGUGCUAUGGGAUCGUUCGGCGUACAAUGCAUGCAUUUUGCGUCGUGUCUUUUUCAUACUCGCUCAACUCGGCUCUUCCACACUUAGGAUGUUGACUUAAUGGUUUUAAUCGACC
rnacentral:rRNA from 2 species